rnacentral:rRNA from 1 species
UACGUAGGGGGCAAGCGUUGUCCGGAAUCAUUGGGCGUAAAGAGCGCGUAGGCGGCCCGAUAAGUCCGCUGUGAAAGUCAAGGGCUCAACCCUUGAAUGCCGGUGGAAACUGUCGGGCUAGAGUCCGGAAGAGGCGAGUGGAAUUCCUGGUGUAGCGGUGAAAUGCGCAGAUAUCAGGAGGAACACCGAUGGCGAAGGCAGGUCUCUGGGCCACUACUGACGCUGAGAAGCGAAAGCAUGGGGAGCGAACAGG